rnacentral:rRNA from 1 species
UACGUAGGUGGCAAGCGUUAUCCGGAUUUAUUGGGUUUAAAGGGAGCGUAGGCCGGUCUUUAAGCGUGCCGUGAAAUUUUGUGGCUCAACCAUGAGAGUGCGGCGCGAACUGGAGACCUUGAGUGCGCGGAAGGCAGGCGGAAUUCGUGGUGUAGCGGUGAAAUGCUUAGAUAUCACGCAGAACCCCGAUUGCGAAGGCAGCCUUCCGGCGCCCUACUGACGCUGAGGCACGAAAGUGCGGGGAUCGAACAGG